rnacentral:misc_RNA from 1 species
UGUUGAUUGGUACUCCCGUUUUUGGAAACUUUCCAGUCGUUCACCAAAUCAUUGCAAAUCAUCUCGAUUGUUCGAGCAUUUUCGGUCGGACAUUCCCUUGGGUCCCCUAUGGCUCGAUCAGAUUUGGAAGAGACGAGCCACACCCUGUAUAGUAAACGUAUUUUGUGGUGCAAGUAUUUAUAUUUUAUCAUGUCCGUUUCAAAAAUACCACACAAGUUAAUUUCACCCGAAGAAAGAGAAAUGACAGAAAAGCCAAAAGCUUCGAGCACUGCAGCAGAUGAAGAUGUCGAGGAAGAAAAAUUUGAUAAAAAUUUCUGGGUUGAGGUUGAAAAAAAAGUGAAGAAAGGCAUAUCAUGGAAUAAGGCAAUGGAUGAAGUCAGGGCAGAAAGACUGAUGACAAAAUAUGGUAACCAAGCUCUGGUGGUUCUUAUUCGCAAGUGGCCGAAGAUGAAAAAGUUUAAACAGAAACCGAAAGCAAACCAAAAGAAACCGAAAAAAACCCAAAAGCUGAUAACAAGCUUAGAGUAUUUGAUCAGCCGACUGACGGAAAUAAUUCUGGACAAAGACAAGGACACGGAUUAUGCUGGUUUUCGUUUUGAAGAACCAGAAAAGCCGCCAAAAACCCUGCUGCAUCUUGCAGCGGAGCAGAAUUUUCUUCACGUUUCAAGAUGUCUGGUCGAUCGUUUUCCAACUCUGCUGCACGCGACCACAGACGAUGAUGAAUGGGACAAGGCUGUCAUGCCCGUUGAAUUAGCUUUAGAAAAGCGUAAUGAUGACACUGCAGCUUAUCUCAUUUCUCAAAUGUUGGCUAAUCGCGUCACGGAACUCUUUCUGUAUGACGACAUUGGAGAAUCAGUGAAAUUUUAUUUUGGUGAUAUUAUUAGUUAUCGUGAUCCAGAGACAAAUGAAUAUGGAAUGAAGAAAACGGUCGUGGCUGUAUUGAACAAAUUGAUUAACCCUUACUGGCCGUACCAGCCUGACCGCGCACUGGUCGAUGAAGACAAUGUUGAAAUCCAGCGAGCCUUGGACAGUGUUCCAGACGAUCCAAUGAAUUAUGACUUUCACUAUCACAUCCUAGAAACUGACGAAAAUGGAAGGACACCCAAAUAUGAAGACUCUGAAGAUGUUGAUCCAUUGUUUAAUCAUAGAUCAAUGUCUUGUCUCGAACGCAUUGCUGACAGCGAGAAUAAGGAAGCUGUGAAACACCCAGUCGUUCGCAUGUUGGUCCUAAGUAAAUGGAAUGAAUUUGCCUUCAAUUGGUUUUGUUUCAAGGCUGUUCUUUAUCUCAUAUUUUUGGCGGUAUUAUCAUAUGCGCUCAUGUUUGGCUCCACUCGUGACGAUCCAACUCAAUACGACGGCCCGGCUGAUAAUUUUCGAGCAGUUUGUGAAAUGGCCAGUAUCAUCUUUCUCAUUGUACACCUGCUUGAUGAAUUUGGUGAAAUAUUAAGAGAAAAAAUAAGCUACUUCGAAGUUUGGCACAACUACCUGGACUUACUUGGUAUUAUCCUCACCCUGGUCGUCCUUCCUCUUCGCUAUGCCGAGGUUAAAGCACAGUGGAGCUUCGCUGCUCUUGGUUUGUUAUUCAAUUUUCUACGUCUCUUUAAAUUCUCUCACGUCUCAAGAGUCACAGGUCUUUACACCACAACGCUGGUGAAAAUAAUUCAGAAAGACAUUCCUCGGUUUUUGUUGUUCUUUUCCGUGGUAUUCAUUGGAUUUUGCGGAGCAAUGUAUUUGGCUUUGAAAGUGAACGACAAGCAAGACUCGUUCGGUGGUUUCGCUUGGCUGAUGUUGGCUGGUUUCAGAGCUCUUGCAGAACAACAAUCGUUAGAAGACGACUACCAAAAGUUUAGUUGGUUGCCAAUUAUUAUUCUUCUCGCAUACAUGAUGGUCGUAAUUGUAAUCUUACUAAACAUCCUCAUCGCUCAACUCAGCUACACUUACGAUGAAGCAAAGAAAAUCGCCAAACUGCAAUACGCUGCUGAUAUAAUGAGGAUUGUCUCCCGGGUCGAAUACAGCCCAAUUCGAUAUUUUAGUUUAAGAAUACGAAAUUUCAUAUAUGCUGACUGGAUCAACGACGAGGAAUUGGCCAAAGAAAUGUUGGAGUACACGGAUGAUAGACACCCUUGGGAGACGGUUGGGGAGAGAUUAUCUGACGUUAGGGAAAUUAUGGGGAAACUUGUAAGAAAAGGCAAAGAAAAGGAUCCCUUGGAAACUAUUGAUGACAAAGUAACUCAUCUCACGGAAAUUAUGAAGAAACCAGAGGAGGAAAGCACCGAAGAAGAUCCUUUAAAAUCUAUUGAUGAAAAAAUAACUCGUCUUACGGAGAUUUUGGAAAAGUUUCCAGAAGCUAUGAAAUAACACACAUUCUGAGCUAGCUUCCUGUGCAAGCUGACGAGGAAAAGUUUCACUUUUUUAUGUUCUAUAUUAUUUCAUAAAUAAUUAUGAUUCGUGUUCAACACGCAUACGCUAAACUUAUAACAGUAAGGGCAUGCCCUACAUAUAUUUAUUUUGAAAGAGUCUCAACGUGAUGACCUGAUCGAUGUUGUAAACUACCAGAAAGCUAUCAAGUAUUUCAGUUAAUAGGCUGGAAGAGCCCUGCAUAAUACCGAACAAGUGCCUUCAGACA